rnacentral:rRNA from 1 species
CAAGGCGGCCUGCAGACAGACCUGGCCUCUCACAUGUGCGUGGCAGUGGUUUGUGGUUAGAGCGCGGGGAACUGUAGGUCCUCCUAUUCCACCUCUCGCUACCCCAGCGACCCCUUCCUGCGCCGCCGACGCCGCCGCCUCGCCCACCACGACCGCCACUUGCCGCGCGCCGUGCUCCGCCGGCCGCAGCUGGGCAGCUGCUGCGACGACCUCAAGGAGGCGUGCGCGUGCGGGCAGUCCCCCGGGUUCGAGCCGACGCCGCUUCCACCUACGCCGCGUACGCACCAGGAGUAAAGGUUCAUGUUGGGCCGGUGGCUGCUCCACUGGCUCGUGAGCCGCUCGAGGACGGACUGCGAGCAGCCGUCGGAGUUGGUGACGAGCCAGUGGUGGUCGCUCCCGUAGCCGUUGUGGGCGGUACCGAUGGUGGGACAGGUCGUCGCGGAGCGGCCGAAGGUGCGAAGGGUCACGCCGAAGACGUGGGGGCCGUACACGUACAGGUAGAAGAGGCGGGAGCAGUUCCGGCUGUUCGGGCUGCCGGGACGGGGCGGUUGCCCUAAGAGGUUCGAGUGGACGAGGCUCCGGCUCGUGCGGCAGAGGCCGUUGGAAACGGCGACGUGACCGAUGGCCGGGUAGGAGCUGUGGACGUUCUCGAAGCGGCGACUGCAACUGGAGCUCCUGGAGCCGGAGUUGAGCAAGACCUUCUUUCCGUGACUGGCGCGGCUGCAGCCAUUCGACGGCCUUAUGAGGUCGCCGCGGCAGACGUGGAAGGGACUCAAGGAUUUCAGACUCUAGUUCCCAGUUUACUUGCUACAAGGUCGCCGCUAGCGGCCGGUUCUGCCGGCCAUGGUAGGGUUCUCGUAGCUCCUCGAAGUAUCGGAGAAACUAAGGUUGACCAAGCUGCUUUUGAGCCAGUUCUAGCACCGCAGGUUAUGGCCGCGGCCUCAAAUGUUCCUAGUUCUGGACAUGCUAUUCAUGUAGCUGUAGGUUCCCUAGGGCCUCGAAAGGCAGUAGCUGUCCUCGUCGUUCCCCCACCUCUAGCCCCGUCGGCAGAGGUAGAGGUUUCGGUAGCUUCAGAAGAGGCUACCGUGAGGCCACAAGUGUUUCUAGCGGCCAGUGGAGUCGUUCCAACGGAGCGGCAAGCAGGCCUUGUGCCGCUGACAGCCGCCCUUGCACUAGUACCGUGUCGCCGACGUCAAAGGCAGCCUAUAGCGGUGGUAAGAAGAGCGGCGCCCAAGCUGCCAGUGUCAGGUCUGCCGAAGGUUCUACGACGCGGACUGCGAGCUACUCAAGAACCUCGUCGGAGGGACACUACGGUUCUGGUAUGACGAGUCGUAUAAACAGGGCCUAACCCCAAGUCUGUUACAGUAGAAGCUCUGGAGAGCACGUAGGGGCUCUGGCAAGCCGUUACGACAGAGGAAACACUUAAGACGUAAGGACCGUUCCUGAAGUCCCGUCGAGCAUUAACUCCUAUAGACGGAACGUAAACCGCGAAUGCCACAGCUAGUGUGGUGGGCCCGAGCCUUUCAACUCCUUAAGGACUUCCCCUUUAGUCACUCACGUCGCCACUAUGAACUUCGUCAAGUCAACGACUUUCUACAAUAGAGCGGCAGUCUUCCGUGGUGUGUGGGACUCAUGUCUCAGUCGAACCGACAGUCAAAGAAUAAGUCAAAGGAAAGAAGUGAACCAUUGUUGGACUUACUUGGCCGCUUACGAUAACGAGGGUUACCCAGUAGACGAUUACCGAGGCUCUUCGUACCAUGAGAACCUUCGCUACUGAACGGCCAAGCGAGUUCCGUUCUUGAUCAAAAGUCACUACUUAUGUUUGGACAGCCGUUUGGAUAGUGCUUUCGGCCCCGCCUCGACGUUCGAAGACCCCUCCGACACAUACAACUACUGUAGGGACGAGGGUUCCUAACGGAGAUACCUCGUAAAUAGAUGUCGUGUGUGGGAGUACGGGUACAUUUUUCACAGUUGAAGUCUAGUAGAAACCGAAGUCUUUUCCAGUAGUGUCAAUAGAGGCGUUUCCUGUAAGGUCAACCACCAUUUUUACAACCUAGGCCGAUGUCCUACGAUCCUCUCCUUCAAGAAAAGCCACUAGGCCAUAGACUUAAACGACCAGUUUUAUAACCGUAACACUAACGACUUUGUGUCUUCAUGCGGAUAUACCGCCGCUUCGUUCGACAUUAGCUCAUAUCAUGGCUCUUAGAACUCGGCGGCUAAGACUGUUAACUCCUACGGUAGGUUGUAUUGUCGAUAAAGGUUUGAGGGGGUAAAAACCGAGGAGCCGGUCAACCCCUGUAGCUGGUUCCCUACAGAGUUCGACUAGUGUUCUAGAAUAGUCCUCUCCACUUUGAACUUAGUGUCAUGAUGAAGAUGUACCUCUGAGUCUGGCGUAACCGGUAGGGGCUGCUUCUAUUGACGCAGUGGCAGAUGAGCAGAUGCGUCGCUGGGCUCUAGUAAGUCUUAGAGCAGCGCCUGACGGAGCCGUAAGGGAUGGUGUUACAGGCGCAGUAGUGUUCCUCUCAACCUCCGCCGAAACCACCUUUCCCUGACUUUCCUCGGGUACAUCGUACACGCACACGUCAAAGUCGCAAGUUCGACGUCGCGGGACAGGCCUACAUGGAGCUGGCGUUCUGCCUGUUCUCGUACCGGCCUCCCGCCGUGGGCUACUUCCGCUUCAUGAGACAACCCAAAUUCAGCCUGCCAUGCGAGUGCCGAGACGUGCAGCUAGAACCCUAGUUGCGGCCCUAUAGCGGCCUGAAAUCGGGCAACUAGGGCCCAGUGUGGUAGAGAAGAGACUUCUUCAUGUUGACCCCGCGGGAGCGGAAGCUGUAGUUCAACACGUUCUGCUUGCACAGCAGGUUCAGCCGCCACGCCCGCGGGCCGCUGCACGUCCCGAGGAAGUAGCGGCUCCGGUAGUAGCUCGUGCACCGCAGGCGCGAGCCCCGGCUGUGGUUGCGGCAGGCCUCUUUCUUGGAGGUGUCGCAACUCUCGGAGUCCUUCAAGAUGCCGCUGAGGCGACCUCUGCGGGGCUGCAUGUCGGAGCACCUGUAGAAACUGUUCGACCGGAGCAGCGGCCUCAUGCCUUCGUACCGUCUCCGACAACUCGCCAAGUUACCGCCCUCGUCCACCUUCUUCGCGCCGUAGAGCACGCACGGCUAGUGGAUGCUCCACUGGGAGGCCGGCUGCGGCCCCUUCCACAGGUAGGACUUGCUGCCGAGCUAGCGACACCUCCAGCCGCCGCACCUCGAGCCCGUUCCCGACAUAUGGUUCCACUUCGUCUACUGCCGCAAGCCUAACGCCCUCGAGACGGGGCUGCGGCUGUCUGAGGAACUGUUUCAUGCGCAGUAGGUCCGGCUGUGCGACUCGUACUAGGUCCCGCCGAAGUGGCCGCCCUCGUGGUGGAGCCUCUUGUCGACGCUCCGCCAGUCCGUCCGCACGUGGCACGAGCAGUUCGCGGAGUUCGGGUAGUUUCUCCAGGAGCUCGGCUUCAGGCCACGCGGCCACGGUACCUCGUGGGACUAGCGGGUUCGCUUGUACCGUUCGCACUUGGACAGCCGCGUGCGGAAGACCUGCGGUCUGGGUCGGAAACAUUUUAUGUAGUUGAUGCCUCGGCGGCAGUCGCUCCACCUUUAGCUGCACGACUGACCCCCGUGCUGCUAGGACUCCUCGCUGGAACACAUGCUGACACCCGUCUUGGACUUGGGCCGCCACCUGGAGCCGGUCCACCUCCCACGCAAGCACGUUCCCCACCCAAAGAAGUGCUUGCUCCUGAUACGCUCCUUGCGCCUGCCCGACCACCACUUGCUGCCGUGGACCUGCAUGUUCUAGGGAUGCCAACUGUGGUAGGGAUUCGUCAAGUUGCACCUCGAGUAAUUGUCGCGCGCGCUGGUCUUCGCGCACGAGAGGAGGUUCCGCAGGCCGCUCGGCGGCGACGACGACCGCCGCAGCCACGUGACGCGGUACGCCCUCCGGUAGUCCCGCCGGUCCUUCCUUAACUUCCGGUUGAGCGGCGACUGCAAGGUCUACCUGCACGGCCGCUGGUACCGGCUGCAGUUCCUCGACACGCCGGAGCUGCAGCAGCUCUCCGUGGAAGUCUCGGAGUGAAGGCGGCGGCGGUCGCGGCGUGAGUUCCGCACUAGCAUAAAGGUACAUGCAACACAGCUUUGCACCCGCAUACAUGAUGACGUAUACUAGCAUAAACGUAGUAUGAGAAGAAGGUUAACUACGUACGAACUAACGAGGGGUCGAACAAGACACGACAGUAAACCGUAAAAGUAGAGGAACACUUUUAAAUUACACGUCAACAACAGGAGGUAAAGGUA